CCUACGGGAGGCAGCAGUGGGGAAUAUUGCACAAUGGGCGAAAGCCUGAUGCAGCAACGCCGCGUGAGUGAUGACGGUCUUCGGAUUGUAAAGCUCUGUCUUUUGGGACGAUAAUGACGGUACCAAAGGAGGAAGCCACGGCUAACUACGUGCCAGCAGCCGCGGUAAUACGUAGGUGGCAAGCGUUGUCCGGAUUUACUGGGCGUAAAGGAUGUGUAGGCGGAUACUUAAGUGAGAUGUGAAAGCCCCGGGCUCAACCUGGGGACUGCAUUUCAAACUGGGUAUCUAGAGUGCAGGAGAGGAAAGCGGAAUUCCUAGUGUAGCGGUGAAAUGCGUAGAGAUUAGGAAGAACAUCAGUGGCGAAGGCGGCUUUCUGGACUGUAACUGACGCUGAGGCAUGAAAGCGUGGGGAGCAAACAGGAUUAGAUACCCUGGUAGUCCACGCCGUAAACGUUACUACUAGGUGUAGGAGGUAUCGACUCCUUCUGUGCCGCAGUUAACACAAUAAGUACUCCCGCCUGGGAAGUACGGUCGCAAGAUUAAAACUCAAAUGAAUUGACGGAU
rnacentral:rRNA from 1 species